rnacentral:rRNA from 1 species
GGAUGAACGUUGGCGGCGUGCCUAACACAUGCAAGUCGAACGAUAGUCGCAAGACUAUAGUGGCGCACGGGUGAGUAACACGUAGCUUACCAGCCUCUCAGCGCGGGAUAACGGCUCGGAAAGAGGUGCUAAUACCGCAUAAGCUCACGGGAUGUAGAGACUAGUGAGAAAGGUGCAAAUCACUGAGAGACGGGGCUGCGGCCAUCAGCUAGNGGUGCGGUAACGCGCACCAAGGCGACGACGGGUAGGGACCU